ensembl:lncRNA
GUCAUAUACCUUUUUACAAACUCCAGGUGUGCUGUCAUGUACCUUUUUACAAACUCCAGGUGUGCUGUCAUGUACCUUUUUACAAACUCCAGGUGUGCUGUCAUGUACCUUUUUACAAACUCCAGGUGUGCUGUCAUGUACCUUUUUUACAAACUCCAGGUGUGCUGUCAUAUACCUUUUUACAAACUCCAGGUGUGCUGUCAUGUACCUUUUUCUCAGGAGUGGCUUCCGUCUGGCCACUCUCCCAUAAAGCCCAGAUGGAUGAAGUGCUGUAGAGACUGUUUGUCCUUCUGGCAGCUUCUCCUCUCUCUGCCAUAUAACUCUGUAGUUCUGUAGAGACUGUUGUCCUUCUGGCAGCUUCUCCUCUCUCUGCCAUAUAACUCUGUAGUUCUGUAGAGACUGUUGUCCUUCUGGCAGCUUCUCCUCUCUCAGCCAUAUAACUCAUUGGUGGUCAUUUGGUUUGAGAGUGUGAGCUGGAAGGUGGACUGGAAAGUGAGCCGCGUUCAGGGGAUCUAUGUCAAAUCAAAUCACAUUUAUUGGUCACAUACACAUGGUUAGCAGAUGUUAAUGCGAGUGUAGCGAAAUGCUUGUGCUUCUAGUUCCGACAAUGCAGUAAUAACCAACGAGUAACCUAACCUAACAAUUUCACAACAACUACCUUAUACACACAAGUGUAAAGGGAUAAAGAUUGUACAUAAAGAUAUAUGAAUGAGUGAUGGUACA